rnacentral:rRNA from 1 species
GACGUAGGAGGCAAGCGUUAUCCGGAGUAACUGGGCGUAAAGGGCGAGUAGGUGGUUGAGUAAGUUGGUUAUGAAAGCGCCUGGCUAAACUGGGCGAGGUUGACCAAGACUGUUUGACUUGAGUGGAGAAGAGGUAAACGGAAUUCCGCGUGUAGUGGUGAAAUGCGUAGAGAUGCGGAAGAACACCAGUGGCGAAGGCGGUUUACUGGUCUCCAACUGGCACUGAACCGCGAAAGCAUGGGUAGCGAACGGG